rnacentral:rRNA from 1 species
GACGAACGCUGGCGGCGUGCCUAAUACAUGCAAGUCGAACGCUGUGGGGACGGGUGAUUAACACGUGGGUAACCUCCCAUCAGAGGGGAUAACACUUUGAAACUGGUGCUAAACCGAUAUUGAUGGAUGGACCCGCUGUGCAUUCGCUAUUUGGUGAGGUAACGGCUCACCAAGGCCACGAUGCAUAGCCGGCUGGAGAGGGGGAUCGGCCACACGGGGACUGAGACACGGGCCAGACGCGGACGGGAGGCAGGAGUAGGGAAUCGGCGGGAAUGGACGAAAGUCUGACCGAGCAAAGCCGCGUGAGGGAAGAAGGUGUGCGGAUCGUAAAGCUCUGUUGUUAGAGAAGCGGUAUCUAACCAGAAAGCGAGGGCUAACUACGUGCCAGCGGGAGCGGGAAUUC